UUAAAUGUAUUUAACAAAUGUUAAUGGUGUUUAUUUCUGGACACUAGGAUUUGAAAUUAGCUUUUCAAAAAUAUUAUUUAAACUUUCCUGCAAUAUUUACAAUGGAUAAUUAUCAUUUUUACCAAAGCAAUAAAGUGUUUUUUUUUCCUACAAGAGAGAUAUAAUGGCAUUAUGCUCACAGUGGAAAGGAAGUAAAGAGGGGGUGCUACUAAUUUGGGGAAAGAGUAGCUGAGGAGAAAGAGGGAGAUCAGUAGUUACAGUAUUAGAAGCAUUAAUUGUGUCUUUAAGGGUUAAACAGAGGCUCUCUGAAUUCUGAAUGUUACCUUAUGUUUUUAUAACAGUUUAAUUCCCAUAAACCAAUUACACCUGAGCAUUCUACUUUUAUCACCUCUCCAUCUCUGAAGGACAGGAUUCACUGUGUGGCUUAUGUCUUAGACAUCAACUCUAUUGACAAUCUCUCCUCUAAAAUGUUGGCAAAAUUCAAGCAAGUUCACAAAGAAGUAUUAAAUUGUGGUAUAGCACAUGUGGCCUUGCUUAUUAAAGUGGAUGAUUGCAGUGAGGUUCUUCAAGACAACUUUUUAAACAUGAGUAGAUCUAUGACUUCUCAAAGCCAGGUCAUGAAUGUCCAUAAAAUGCUAGGUAUUCCUAUUUCCAAUAUUUUGAUG
rnacentral:sRNA from 1 species